rnacentral:lncRNA from 1 species
UGGAAAUACACCAAAACCUCAGCAUCUCUGCUCCACUGCUGCUUAAUGCACAUUGCAGAUCAGGGUGAUGAGAGGGGAAAUGUGGUCAGGCGUUGAGAGCUGACCUCAGGCAGCUGAUGCCCAAAGCUCGUGGGGGUUCAGCCCCCUUCAAUCAGCAAGGGCUCAUGGUGUGUUUUUUCCCCACAGACUCCACCAUCGCCCACGUUCGACGGGACAGGCCUCGUCCCAUGCAUCAAAUGAGAAACAUCAUGACAUAUGCCACGGUGACCCACACUCAGACCAAAUAGCGCUGCCACAGGGCAAGGGCACAGGAGCCUUGCCCACAGCUGCCUUUGGCCUCCUGCAGAGGGCUCAUGGAGCCAUAACGUGGGGCUAGGGGGUGCACUUUGGUCUUCUUAGGGGUUUGUUUUCUCAGAGAAGGGCUGUGUGUGUCUAGCCAAGAAGAUGUAGGACUCACACCUCCAUCUACAAGACAUUAAUACUUCUAAAAUAUAUGACCUAUACCAAAUCUUACUGUGACUGUAUUGAUUUUUUCUCAACAAAAGAAAACAUCUCGCUGUGCUCAGUGGAUGAUGUGUAUACCUAAGUUGCAUUAUAAUGCCAUGGGGGUGUUAUUCUACCCACCCACAGAGAUGCCCAUUUUUGACCUACAUGGACAGAUAUCACUGCAGGCA